CCGGCCGCCUCCCUCCGCAGCCCCAACCGGCACGGCCUCCUGCUUAAGUUUCCUGCCUGUGCCCACAGAGCACGACAUCUUCUCCAGCCCCUGAACGCACGCAGUCCUGCUGCGUAAACACGCCGCCCCCACGCAGACCUGCCCCGGGCGCUCUCCGCGCCUCUCCGGGCCCGAGUGCGGCUCCCCCUCUGAAGGCGGGGCAACUUGAGCCUGGGAACGGUGGAAGAAGUUCUGCCGUCUGAACCGAGUCCAGAAUUCAGACCUGUUGCCAGGGGCUUCUCGCUAUCCUGGCCCCUUUCCGCAGUUGAGAGUCAGCUGAUUGGCUGUCCCAGAACCGUAGCUCCGGCCCUGACAUCCAGUUAGCACUUUGCCGGUCCCCUAGCCACCCCGGGAUAAUGCCUCUACCGGUUUCCUUCCUCCUGUCCGUGGGUAGCUCCAGGAAGGAUCACACUGGCAGAGAAGGAAGCUGGGGAGCCUUCGUGGAGAGCUACAGCGAGAGGCAGUAGUUCUUGUGACCAUGGAGCCAGACUGCCAGAAUUCCACCCGGCUCCUCCACCUACUUGUUAUCUUGGGCAAGUCAUUUGACUUCUGGAUUCCAGGGGUGAUUUGUAAACCAGGGGAGAUGAUAAUAACCACAGAGAUGUGCAGAUUACAUGAGUACGUGUAGGUAAAGCGUUCAAAACAGCACUUGGCAUUUAAUUAAGUGAUCAAAGAAAUCACCCAGCACCAGUCACUGCUGUGUUCUACCUUUCUUACCUGCUCUUCCUGAUGCCUCUCAGCACGUACUGCAGCCAGGCAAGGAAGGCUCUAGGGACAGAAGUCAGGGUGACCCUACUGACUUGGCUUCCCCAGCUUGGGAGUAGCCCAGCGGACUUUUAAACCGGGGGAACAUGAUGUGUGGCAUCCAUCGCCCAGCUCUGGUGGUGAGGGCAGAGGUGUGCAUGGUAAGAUGCUGAAAUAGGGGAAAGAUAGGUUCAGAGAAUGAAGCUGGCCUUGGGGCUUGUCAGAGAAAUGGGCAAAGUAACUACUGGACAGAGUAUCAAACAGAUGCUGCUGUCCCCUCCUGACCUUUUAUCCCGUCCCCUCGCUCAAUUCUACAAGGGAGUAUGUGCUUUUAGCCCUCCCUGGUAUGCUCCCUGAGAGCAGGCAGUGUGUUUCAUUUGCCUUUAUUCAUCCUUUAGCACCUUGCUAGAUGCUUUGGGUGUAAGCGGUCACCUUAUACACUACCCCACUGGGCCCUGUGGAAAGGGUCCUCAUCAGAAGAAAAGGAAUUUUAGAGUUUCCCUAUCCAACUGUCUCCCUUCAGAGUUAAAGGAAGUGAGGAAAGAUAUUUGUCAGAGUUAUACAGCAAGUCAGAAGCCACGUCUCUGUUUUCAGACAGAUGUUAUUUCCUUGACACACACUGAGCUUACAAGGCAGUUGGGAGGAAAAACCAACUCCCUAAACUUUAUAGGAUGAAAUAAGGCAUCGUGUGGUUAAGUCCUGAAAAUAUGGUACAAAUGGUAGGUUUGCUACCAUUUGAGAGAACCCCAUUCCCCAGGGACUGGGAUCAGCUAGUAAAAAUGCUUACUGCAAGAGGGAGUCAACAAGGCCCUAAAGGAAGGGCAGGAUUUGGAGCCCAGGAGAGAGAAGUUUUAGGAGGGAAGUGGCUUACUGCUGAGGAUAUUUGGGGGUGAAUGAGGAAACCAGUUGGGUUAGAAAAAAGGUUUGUGUUGGAUCAUAGAUAAAAUAUUGGAGGGUUAGUUAAAGGCUAGAUUUGGGGAAAUUUCAAAUGCCAGAUAAGGAGUUUUUACCUCUAUGGGUAAUGGAGAACCCCUGGAAAUAGACACAGAAUGAGGUGCUUAACCAAGACGAGAAACCAGGCCAAGAUCUGCCAGCUUGGUCUGAUUUGCAUCUUUUGUAGACAGUUGCUUGCUGUAUAUGUGCAUCUAUUGAUUUUUACCCCCACACAGAGGAAACUCUACCGACCAGCUUGUCUCUAUUUAUUUCAUCUCCAAAUACACAUGCUAUUUGUGUGGGAGCAGAGGAAGAUGAUUAACACAGUGCAUAUACCUGUUGUAGAUCAGCCACUUGCUCCAGUGGUAUCUUACUGAAGCCUUCCAGUCUGGUGAGGGUAUUAUUGCCUAGCAACUCCAGAAAGCUUGGCUCCUUCUACCUUCUUACCAAUUUUUAUCAAUAAUGAUCUUCCGUCUUGCUAUCCAAUAAGGGGCAUGUUGAAAACUGAGCUUACAGUGGUAAAGUGCCCAAUACCCACUGCCCCUAAAAAAGAAAAGGAAAACUGAGUUAAAAAUUUAUUAAUUUUAUGUCUCUAAUAGUUGAACACUGGUAUUACAUACUAUCAAGGUGUUGCUAUGGAGCAGUGUGGGAAUAGUGGUUAAAAAGUAUCACUUGAGAAAGGCUAGAUCCUACUCCACAUUUUAUCACUGGAUGAGUCAUUUCAUCUCUCCUUGCUUGCAGUUUUCCCAGUCCCUCAUAUUUGCUCUUCAGAGUUAGGCUUUAAUGGCUGCACAUAUGUAAAAGAAAUGAUAACUUUCCCAGAUCACAGAGUUAGCAGGUGGCAGACUCAGAAUAAUGAGAAGAUCCAGGAAGAGAUCCCACUCCCAGGUUCCUUCUCAGAGAGGGCAAAGUGUGGGGAUAACCCCUAGGUUCAGGCUUCUAGGGUUGCUUUUUUUUUUUUAAUCCCUGGAGGUCUAGUAUUGCCUUAGGAAAAAGGAAUCCCCAUUUUCUGUCUUUGAAGUCAGACAAAGGUAGGUUUCUCGUUACUAGCCGGUCUCAGAGGCUAACCAAGCUAAUGAACCUUCAAGACCCCUCACUUGCACAAACCCCUACCCAACUUCAAACAUCUAAUUUUGCAUUAUUGUUCUUAUAGAGAGCUCCAACAACUGCAAAAUCUUCAGAACCCUAACAUCUGAAUCUGCUCCAAGUGGAUGAACUCAAUCAAGUUACUUUCUGAGACUUUGUUUUCCCAUCUGAAUAAAAUCAUCUUGGAUGCUGGUCGAGGAGCUGAACAUCCAGCUGGUGCAUAGUGUUUCAGAUGCCAAAAUAACUUGAAGAACUGGAUCUCAUGAGCCUUAGGCCUAAGACAAAGGUUAACAUAUCCCUGAGGUUUAAAAAAAAAUAGCUAAACAAUCUGUUUACUUAGUAGAUUCAUCCAAACAACUGAGGUACUUAUACCCUAUCAGUUUAAUGGUUCUUUACAAAAAUAAUAUAUGUAAAUGUAAAUUGAACAAAAAUUUACACACACUUUUUUUUUUUGGUGGAUGAGUGGUACUAGGAAUUAAACUUUACCCUUUACCACUGAUCUAUAUUCCCAGAUCUUUUUAUUUUUUAUUUUGGGACAGUAUUUCACUAAGUUGCUGAAGCUAGCCUCGAACUUGCCACGGCUGGUUUGGAACUUGCAGUCCUCUGGCCUGUAGCUGAGAUUACAGGCCUGAGCCACCAUGCCUGGCAAAAUUAAUAUUUUUAUUCGUUCUUCAAUAACUGCUAUUACUUUCUAAUGGAAUGUGCACCUGUUGAGCACUGCACAAUUUCCCAAUCCUUAAAAUCGAAUUGCACUUAACCACCUCAUUUCCUAUUCCCCAUCAAUUUUCACACAGUGCUUGCUUGCUUUUUAGCACAGCAUACACCAAAAACCAUAAAGACAUGAUGUCAUCAAAAGGAAUGUAAUACCAUCUAAUGUUGAAACUGAAUUUCCUUUAACUAAUAGUUCAUGCAGUAUGUGACAGAUGUCAGGUAUUCAAAAAAUCCUGGGCUGGGGUUGUGGCUCAGCGGUAGAGUGCUCCCCUAGCACGGGCGAGGUCCUGGGUUCUAUAUUUAUAAAAAAAAUCCUGAGACACCCCUGUAAAUUUGCU
rnacentral:lncRNA from 1 species